CUGGCUCAGAUUGAACGCUGGCGGCAUGCCUUACACAUGCAAGUCGAACGGCAGCACGGGUGCUUGCACCUGGUGGCGAGUGGCGAACGGGUGAGUAAUACAUCGGAACAUGUCCUGUAGUGGGGGAUAGCCCGGCGAAAGCCGGAUUAAUACCGCAUACGAUCUACGGAUGAAAGCGGGGGACCUUCGGGCCUCGCGCUAUAGGGUUGGCCGAUGGCUGAUUAGCUAGUUGGUGGGGUAAAGGCCUACCAAGGCGACGAUCAGUAGCUGGUCUGAGAGGACGACCAGCCACACUGGGACUGAGACACGGCCCAGACUCCUACGGGAGGCAGCAGUGGGGAAUUUUGGACAAUGGGCGAAAGCCUGAUCCAGCAAUGCCGCGUGUGUGAAGAAGGCCUUCGGGUUGUAAAGCACUUUUGUCCGGAAAGAAAUCCUUGAUUCUAAUACAGUCGGGGGAUGACGGUACCGGAAGAAUAAGCACCGGCUAACUACGUGCCAGCA
rnacentral:rRNA from 1 species